AUAAACCAAUAAUAUUAGAUUGUAGAAAUUCUAACAAUCUCAUAAAUCAAACUUCCACUAACACCCCCCCCUUAAACUCAAUCGCUGAAUAACAGUAGUUUGUAAAUCAUAUAGAAUUAAAUUUAAAUUUGUUAUUGAAUAACACCUUUUUUUUGUUCACCUUUUGAAUAAGAAGUCUAAGAUAAUAUUCCAUAAACUACUUCAAUAUUUUCUAAAACUUCACCAUAAAUCUCAGCAAAUAUAAUAGUAUAAAAUGUUGCAAAUCUUCUUCAGAUAUUUCAAAUCAUAAAAGUUUAAUUGGUGACCACUUAUUGAAUGGAAUAAAUAGAAAAAAAUGUUGAACAAAAAUUCAUUUGAAGAAAUGAAUUGAAAAAAAAAUUUUGAAAAGAGAGGAACAGACUCUCCACAUCAAAAUUAGACAAGAAAAAUAUUUUUUCAUUAGUUCAAUUAUAUAUGAGGAAAAGUGAGGAAUAAAAUGGGGCCCACAUGUUACUAGUUUGCAAAAAAAAAAUUCAACUUAACUGGUAUUAAUUCUAAAGAAUAGCAAAUUCAUCAUAUUUGUUUCAUAAAACAUGGUCACUAAUUGCAGCUAAAAUCUUACAUAUUUAGUAAAAAAAAUCUUCUGAAACUUCACCAUAAAUCUCAGAAAAUAGUAUAAAUCUUACAUAAUUAGUAAAGAAUCUUGCAACUUCUUCAGAUAUUCCAAAUCAUAAAAUUUUCUCAAAUAUAAAACCCGAUAAACUACUUUAAAUGCUUAGUCUAAUAUAUCUCCAAGGUUGCUACAUGUCAAUGUUUGCUAAUAAUAUAGAUUUAUGGUAAGUCAAUACAUAAAAGAUUAUAGCUAUAAUAUUUUAUGUAUAUCCGCAAUCAAAACUUCAAUAUUUUAUGGUCAAAUCAUAUAAUAUAAUUUGAUCACCUAAAUUGUACUAUAAAAACAAAUGAGGUGUAGUCUUCAAACUCACAACUGAAAAAAAAACAAAAAAAUAUUUACUUAGGAAAAUGAAAACUGUUUCUUUUAAACUUUUGCUUUUGCUUUUGAUAUCUACCCUUCUCGUCACCGUUAGAGGAUAUGUCAAAUGUGAAACAACCGAUGAAUGCAUGGACGCAUGUAGAUGCGAAGAUGCAUUUUGUGACCUUCAUAGGUGCUACUUUGGGAAAAAAGCUAGGAAUAAAAUUAAUGUUAAUUCUUCAAGAAACAAUUAUCUUGCAGAAAAUAAAAGACGUGGUGGUGGUAGUGGAGGACCUCCACCUACCAAUUAAAAUGAUAAAAGUGUCUUUAUAUGUGUAACAAUAAAACUUAUUUGCUGAAUAAAAAUACAAAUUCGUUAAAGAACUUUGAUUUAUUAAUAUGUUGAUCCUCAUAGGUUAAUGAACUUUUAAUUAUAAACCAAGAUCUAUCUUCUCGUGUAAAGGUUUAUCUACUGUCAUAGCUACUAAUACUCGAGCUGUCCAAUCUAACACAACAUUCAAUGGAGAUUCUUCGAUGAUCCUAUGACAUUUUCUGUAAUAUAUCCGCCAUUAGACCGUUUCAAUUUUUAACAAAUGUGUUCCAUCACAAAUAUAUUUGUAACAUAAAUACUUACCAAACACAUGAAUACCAAUUUCUCCAUAUCUCUUUUCUCUAUUCUUCAUUCUGAUUAACAUUUCUCAAGUGACUCAAUAACGAACAGAAGAAGUUAUGCUGUCAAUCUCUAUUGAGAACAUUCAAUUCAAUCACAUGGAGAAUUCCAAAAAUACUGAAUCAGCAGACAGGGUUGUCAAACUCCCUACUCAUAAAACUCAACAAACCAAACCAUAACUAGUCAAAGGUAACCCAUCAAUUGAAUCUCCAAGGAAGGUUCCAUGAUCUACAUCAGCUAAUACCAAAUAAACUCUUUCAGAUUUUGUAUAUGUCUCCACUAAUGCAGAAUCACAAUUGCUUGAAGGUAGUGCAAAGCGAUAAGGUUUUUCCUUUUUAAUUAGCAUUAGCAAGUACGUUUAAAGUUAUUCUGAAGGUGAAGAAUCAAACUCAGAAGCUUCUGAUUCUGAGCUAGAACAAGAAUCCGAGAAGGUGGAUUUGAUGACACACCUCUAGGAAAAAAAAAUUCUCAGAGAGCGACCACUCAAAGCUUCUGCAAAAGCAAAUGAAAUGUUUCUACAAAAUAUAGGUCAGGGGAGCAUGGUGGACAAGGCUGUGAUAACUCAGGUGGCUAUGGAGAUCGUGGCCGUAGAAACCGAGGAGUCAUGGUUAAGUUCUCUUAGAGAAUCUCCAAUAAUACACAAAACUUUACUCCAUAUGUCUCUCUUCUUAAGCUAUCCAGCUCAUCGUAUAGCAUAGGGCAUUUUGUGACACGUCAGCAUACAAAUCGACCAAUAAAAAAAAGUUAUUUCGACACGUCAGAUAACCAAACCUCUCGCUGUAUUUCUUCCUCAACCUUCGUAGCUUACUGAGAAAUUGAAAAGUCAAGAGCCUUAAAUUUCUGCUCCACUCACUCAAUAACUUUGCAUUUAUAAGAUCCGAAACACAAAUCUGGAAUCACUGUUCGGCUUCUCCUCCUCUCCCACUUUUUAUAUCAUCAUCUAAAUCCGCUCUAACCUAAAGCCACAGUGUCAUCUAGAGAUUCCAAAUCAAGCAUCCUCAUCUCUGCACGAGUCACAACUAUAGCCGCCUCACUAUGGUUUCAACUGAAGUCUUUUUUUUUUUUUUUUUUUUUUUUUGAUUAACCUGGGAUAUCCCAGGCCCAUGGAGAGGCCCAGACUAAUCCCCAAGGGGAGGUGCAGCCCACGGAUAGACACUCUCUCCGGGUAUUCAAAUGGACCCUAAAGCAUGGGCCCAUAUCCGGUGUUGGGUGACCAGGAUAAUUGUGAUUUAGUUUCGCGCAGCAGGUAGAUCGAACCUGAAACAUGUUGCUGUCUCAGCCCCGUCUCCUUACCACUCGACCACAAUCACCCGGUCACUGAAGUCUCUUUUGGAAUGACCUCUAUGGAUCUUGGUAAAAAUUAAUUCCUCCGAUGAUGUUUACGGUCACGAUUUUUUAUGAUUCAUGCGUCUGAUGCUUUUUUAGUGUGGAUUUUGAGUCAAAACUUUUGACCCAACCUAAAUAGGCUUAUUAUCAUGUUUUUUUUUGUGAUAUGUUAUCUGUUUGUAUCAUAAUUAUUUGAAAAUUGAAUUUACUGCACUAUGAUUGCUUGAGGAAAGGUAGAGCUCUCAACCCACUACUAUUCCGUUUUCAAUUUUUUAUUUUUUAGGAACAAAAUCUUUUCUAAUUUUCAUUUGACUAAACCAUUGAGGAUCAGCAGAAGAAGGACGGGUCGAGAACGAAGUUGAAAAUAAACGUGAAGCUUAAUCAUCAAGUUAACUAAGAAAGAAUGAUGUUAUUAAGCUUCAGAUCAAGGUCGAUGAGAAGACAUGUCAAAUCGUUCCAUGCUCUCUUCAAGACCUUUGGUUGUGGGCCUGUGGCUCCGUAUCAUGUGUUCAUCUGUAGGCAUGUUCAUCCUCUUAAUUUUAAUGGUUAUGGUGACUAUUUUAUGAUCCAGUCGUAAAUUUAGAAACUUUGUAUUUGCCCAAAAAAGUAAAUAUUUUUUGUAAUAUUUAUAUUAUCCGGUGAUAUGUCUUAUGUUAUCUUCACUCAUGAUCAAUGAUUUUAAUGGCAUCUCCCCUGAUAUUUGUGAUCAUCUUUAGAAAGUUCACAAAACAUGUUCUUCCACAAUCCAAUCGACAAACCAAAAGCCUCUGCCAAGACCUCUGAAAUCAAAUCAUAAUAUCAAAAUAUCUACAGGUAUUGCUUGGAUUUUUUUAAAAGUUUCAGUUCAUGUUUCUUAAUAAAGAUCUUCAUGAUUUGUUUUUGUAUACGUUUAUGAUACUCCAUAAACGGGAAGUCACUGAAUAUUCUGUUACUUUCACUUACUGGAUAUGACUGUGUUUAUAACAUCUUGUUUUUUUUAAAAAAAGGAAGCAGUCCAUGAUGAUCCAGGGAUCAAUUAGCGUCCACUGGUUGAACACUUUCUAACCCCCCUCAGAUAAGGAGGUAUUUAUGAGCUGAGUUCAUUUGAUGUGACAAAGAGCAAUCAGUAUUUCAAGCUGACUACUGCACCCGUCUCAGUUAGGUUCACUUAGCACACUACCUUGAUAGAGAUCACAGAAACCAUUAAUCCUAUACCGGCAGAGGUCUUCCUGUUCUGGAGCUUUGAUCAAGUGUUGUUACUGGCUAACACAAACAUCCUCUUACCAGGUCAGUUCAACAACUUACAUGUUCAUCCUCCUUACAUGAUGACAUAUAUUCAAUGAUCCCAGCGCUGAUAUGCCGGGAGCUGCAUCUGUAAUAACAAAUCCCUCGCAUGGUGUGUACAUUGGUGUUUCUAUGACCAGCAGAAGGCUUGAUAGUCAUGGGAUGGUUGAAGAAAACAGAAUCGGGACAGCUCUACCAGGUGCUCGAGCUAUUGUUCCCGAAAUGACUGCGGAGUGCGGAGAAGCCAACAGUUCUGGAACAUGGGCUCUUUGUAAAGAAGGCAUGCAUUGAGUAAAAUCUUAAGUAAGGGAGUCUAUGACCCUCCUGUCGACUCCUACAAACUAUGCUGGAGCUUUUUUAAAUUUUGCAUAUUAAUGAAAUAUGACUUAAGAAUCAUUCCCACCGUCAUGUUAUAUCUCAUCAAGUAAGCUCUGUUUUUACAUGUAUAUAUAUAUAAAUAAAAACCACCUUAUGAACUCGGUGGAGGCA